CCUACGGGAGGCUGCAGUGAGGAAUAUUGGUCAAUGGUCGGGAGACUGAACCAGCCAAGCCGCGUGAGGGAUGAAGGUACAGAGUAUCGUAAACCUCUUUUGUCAGGGAACAAAGGCGGGGACGUGUCCCCGGAUGAGUGUACCUGAAGAAAAAGCAUCGGCUAACUCCGUGCCAGCAGCCGCGGUAAUACGGAGGAUGCGAGCGUUAUCCGGAUUUAUUGGGUUUAAAGGGUGCGCAGGCGGUCUGUUAAGUCAGCGGUCAAAGCCCGGGGCUCAACCCCGGCCCGCCGUUGAAACUGGCAGUCGCGAGUUGGAGAGAAGUAUGCGGAAUGCGCGGUGUAGCGGUGAAAUGCAUAGAUAUCGCGCAGAACUGAGAUUGCGAAGGCAGCAUGCCGGCUCCACACUGACGCUGAGGCACGAAAGCGUGGGUAUCGAACAGGAUUAGAUACCCCUGUAGUC
rnacentral:rRNA from 1 species